rfam:Absidia repens strain NRRL 1336 BCR42scaffold_3, whole genome shotgun sequence.
GCGCGGUUGGUUAAAGUGGUAUAAUCUUCGCCUGCCACGCGAAGGGCCGGGGUUCGAUUCCCCGACCGCGCA